GAAAACCCGGUUCCAGUACGAUCACCGAAGUUAAGCAAGGUCGAGCCUGGUCGGUACCUACACGGGUGACCGCUUGGGAAUAUCCGGUGCUACA